GUCUAAUGCUCUUAACAUCAACAGGUCUGACGUAUGAUACAGUUCUCUUUCUAUAAGAAGGUUGAACAAACAUUCCAUAGCAUGUAGAUAGGACCUGGGUUGUAUGCUAGGAAAUUAUGUGAAUGGGAAUUAAUAGCAAGUGAUGCCCCCAAUUUAACUGGUACAUGGAUAGAGUGAGUUUGGGGCAGAUCCAAUACCAAUCACAAGAAGAAGAAGAUUGUGUGCAAACAGUAGGGUGUAGAAGAAAGUUAGCCUGUGGCUCUUAUUGGAUAUGAGCCUUGUUAUUAUUCAUCCUAUCAAAAGUCACAACACGGAGAUCAGUUGCUAUGCACUCUUCUGGAAAAAGAUGAUUAAAAGCUUGUGUUUGUGAUCCUUA
rnacentral:misc_RNA from 1 species